ACUGGUGAUAUCUCUGGUCUUGGUCCAUUUGAGUUGGAGGCAUUGCAGGACUGGGAGUAUAAGUUCAUGAGCAAGUAUGUUAAGGUUGGAUCUAUCAAGUCGACAGUUCCAGUAACAGAUGGAGCCUCCUCUGGUGAAUCCACUGAGCCUAAAGAAGGAGUUGUUGAUACACCUGCAGAAAGUAAAGGAGUUGUUGAUACACCUGCAGAAACUAAAGAAGUAGAUAUCGCUAAGCCUGCUGAAUAUGGUCCGUCAGAAACUGCAGCCGCUGGACCUGAGGCAACCCCAUCUUCUGAUGAUACUAAGAAGGAGUAAGCCGAACCCCAUCUGUUGAUGAUGCUGAGGAGUAGAAUUUAAUCAUAAGGCAAACCCCAUCUGUUUGGCUGCGUGUAUUUGUGAAUUUUUUCACAUAUUAGUAAGUUUACAUUGUUAGUCUAGGAAACUUCUAUCGCAGACUUGUUUUUUAAUGCUUAAUUUUGUCG
rnacentral:lncRNA from 1 species